CCCACACAUUCUCUUCUCCUAUCAGAUCAUUUCUUUAGACCUUGAUCUUUCUCACCCACCUAGCUUCACCUAUCACCUUCCAACUAGUCUCUCCCCUCUCUCCCCCUUUUUAUUCCAACACCUUUCCCCUUCCUUCUCAAUCCUGAUGUAGCCUGAAACGCUGACUGUCUUUUUGAUAGAUGCUGCCUGAGCAGAUUUCCUCUAGCAUUUUGUGUGACCAGCCAAUUAAAUGCGCAUGCAUAAAGAACUCACAAACUUUUCCUAUGAGUUCCAGAAGAAUGCUCAUGUGCUCAGUGGUCGAAAGGUUCUUGGGGUCUCGGUAACCGGUGUGAGUGGGGGUUUGGGGAGAGUUUCAUCAGCGCCAGCAUCCAAACUUCAACUGAGGGAAAAUUACUGAGAGCUCUGGACACACUGUGGCUCCACUUCCUGGGCCAUUCCCAGUCCUUUACCUCUUUCUCAGUCCUAUGAUCCAUACCUGAGCCCCAGGGAGCUUGCUUUGGAUGAACCAAGUUGCUGAUUGAUGGCCUUUUCUGUGGUGCGUGCGCUUUGCUGGGACUGUGGCUGAUAGACUGGUCUCUCCAUGGGGAUUCUGGGUAAUGGGGCAGCCAUAGGUUUUCUCCGCCAGUUUAUAGGGUGUGUUUGGAAGCGUAGGGAGAGGGAAUGAAAGCGGAUGGAUCUCCCCAAAGACCACAGAGCUCCAGAUGUCUUAAUCCAAUGAUUAGGAACACGGAAUGAAAAUAUAGUUCCCAAUUAGUCUUGGAUGAAGAGUUUACCUUCCAGUCAAUGAAAAUGUCAAUUAGAGAUGCAUGAGGAAAAAAAUAACAAAAUCCUUCCAUUAGUUCUUGAGGAAAAUCACCUUUGUUCUACCUCCUCUUGUAUUGGGCCUAUGACUGUGUGGUUAAGCACAGCUCCAACAGCAUAUUUACUUUUGCUGAUGGCACCACCAUUGUGGGUAAGAUCAAAGUUGGUGAUGAAUCAGCAUGGGUAAGAUCAAAGUUGGUGAUGAAUCAGCAUUCAGGAGGGAGGUCGAAAAUUUGGCAGAGUGGUGGCAUAGCCACAACCUCUCCCUCAAUAUCAGCAAGAGCAAGGAAAUGAUUGCAGAUUUCAGGAGAGAGAAACCAGGAGUGAGCCAGUGCAACACAAAACACUGGAGGAACUUGGUAGGUUAGGCAGUAUUUUGAUGAAAGAUCUCAGCCUGAAAUGUUGACUGUUUAUUAACUUCCAUAGAUGCUGCCUGACCUGCUGAGUUCCUCCAGCUUAUUGUGUGUGUGUUUCCUUGGAUUUGCAGCAUAUGCAGAUUUUCUCAUGUCCACGACCCAGUCCUCAUCAGAGGAUCAGGCAUGCAGAGAGUUAGCAACUUUAAAUUCCUGGAUAUUACUAUCAGGGGAUCCAUUCUGUCCUGGACCCAAAAUGUAAGUGUAGUUGCUAAGAAAGCAUGGCAGUGCCUUUGCUUCCUUUGGAGUUUGUGGAAAUUUGGCAUGACAUCUGAAACUUUGACAGACAUCUAUAGAUGUGUAGUGGAUAUUGUAUUGACUGGCUGCAUCAUGGCCUGGUAUGGAAAUAUCGAUGCCUUUGAAUGGAAAAUCCUACAGAAUGUAGAUGGAUUCAGCCCGGUACAUCACAGGUAAAGCCCUUCCUAUCAUCAGGCAAAUCUACAUGAAAGCAGCAACCAUCAUUAGAGAUCUCCACCAACCAGGACAUGCUCUUUUCUUACUGCUGCCAACAGGUAGAGGUUCAAGAGCCUCCGGAUUCACACCACCACGUUCAAGAACAGUUAUAGUACUACCCCACAUCAUCAGUCUCUUGAACAAAAGGGAUAACUACAUUCACUUGCCGAUCUAUUGAGAGGUUUCCACAACCAAUGAUCUCACUUUAAAGACACUAUCUUGUUAUGUUCUUGUUAUUUAUUUGAAUUUGCAUUUGCAGUUUGUUGUCUACUGCACCCUGGUGGAUUUUUCAUUGAUCCUAUUGAUCCUACUCUGAUUUUUAAAUCUUGGAGACAGACCUGACUGAAAGAAACGAACUGAUGAACCAUCUUGGAUCGCAAGACCCUGCAGCGGAUAGUGAGGUCAACUGAGAAGAUCAUCAGGGUCUCUCUUCCUGCCAUCACAGACAUUUACACUACGCACUGCAUCUGCAAAGGAAGCAGGAUUAUGAAGGACCCCAUGCACCCCUCAUACAAUCUCUUCUCCCUCCUGCCAUCUGGGAAAAGGCUCUGAAGCAUUCGGGCUCUCACGACUAGACUAUAUAACAGUUUCUUCCCCCAAGCUAUCAGACUCCUCAAUACCCGAAGCCUGGACUGACACCUUGCCCUACUGUCCUGUUUAUUAUUUAUUGCAAUGCCUGCACUGUUUUUGUGCACUUUAUGCAAUCCAGUGUAGGUCUGUAGUCUAGUGUAGCUUUCUCUGUGUUUUUUUUAUUACACAGUUCAGUCUACUUUUUUGUACUGUGUCAUGUAGCACCAUGGUCCUGAAAAAUGUUGUCUCUUUUUGCACUGUACCAGCAGUUAUGGUCGAAAUGACAAUAAAAGUUGACGACUUGA